GCGGAUGUGGUGGAACGGCAGACACGCUAUCUUGAGGGGGUAGUGAGCAAUGCUCGUGCGGGUUCAAAUCCCGCCAUCCGCA
rnacentral:tRNA from 2 species